UGCGCGCCGCUCUGCCGGCUCCGCAGGUGGGAGCGCACCUUUGGGGCUCGGGGCAGGAGCUCCGCCGGUGAACAGCAGGGAAAUGUGUUUCGCCAGGGAGCCGGGAACGCUGCAGUGCCUGUGCGGGGAGCAGGCAGCCGGGAGCUCACGGCACCGUGGCUCCCCUGGGGGUUACCGCCGGCAGAGCCUGGCUGGGGGCACCCGCGCAGCGCCGUGCCCAUUCCACACGCCCGCUGGACCCCUUUAAACACCUGCGCACCAGGGGGAGGGAGCUGAUGGCGUAUACAGAAAGUACGAAAAGCAGACAGCAGGAGCAAAGCAUUGGGAGGAGAGCAGGUGGAAAGAAGACACCAGGGACUGGAGAAAUCCCCACCAAAAUUGCCUUUGGAUGUGGCAGAGCAGCUCAGCUGGGAUUGGCUGAUCUUACAGAUGCUGGUAUAGCAUUGAGGAAAUAUUUCCUUUGACACACUGGCACUGCCUUCUGAGAAACUACUCCAUUUCCAGCUCUUUAUGGCAUUUAAUAGCAAUGAACUGUGUCUUCUGUAUUAAUAAAUUAUGAUGUCACUUUGUUUUAUGGA